UCUUCCUGAACUACCUCUGACCCUGCAAGCCUGGGGUUAGGGGAGAGGGGUGAGCUAAAAAGCCCAGUGAGCAGAAACCAUAAAAGAAAACAGUUCAUUUUAACGUAUGCUAUCAUGGAAUGCGUCACAUCACAAAUAUAUCACCUCAAGGAUGAAUCUGUCACCAAUAGCCCUCUACAUAUCAAUCUCGUACCAUAACAAGUCAACAAUACUCUAUGCCAGGGGCG
rnacentral:lncRNA from 1 species